rnacentral:rRNA from 1 species
GACGAACGCUGGCGGCGUGCUUAACACAUGCAAGUCGAACGGAAAGGCCCUGCUUUUGUGGGGUGCUCUAGUUGCGAACGGGUGAGUAACACUUGAGUAACCUGCCCUUGACUUUGGGAUAACUUCAUGCAACUUGGGCUAAUACCGGAUAGGAGCUCCUGCUGCAUGGUGGGGGUUGGAAAGUUUCGGCGGUUGGGGAUGGACUCGCGGCUUAUCAGCUUGUUGGUGGGGUAGUGGCUUACCAAGGCUUUGACGGGUAGCCGGCCUGAGAGGGUGACCGGCCACAUUGGGACGGAGAUACGGCCCAGACCCCUACGGGAGGCAGCAGUGGGGAAUAUUGCACAAUGGGCGGAAGCCUGAUGCAGCAACGCCGCGUGCGGGAUGACGGCCUUCGGGUUGUAAACCGAUUUCGCCUGUGACGAAGCGUGAGUGACGGUAAUGGGUAAAGAAGCACCGGCUAACUACGUG